ACAAUUCAUUUUUUUAAAAAAAAAAGUUAUAUACAAACCUUUUUUUAAGGAAUGAAAAAUUAGCGCUAAAAUUUUGAGGGAGAUUUUGUUUUCUUGUUUUCCUAAAACACUAGAACUUCUUCGCUGUGUUGUCUCAAAACCCCAACACCCAACCUUAACAUUGCUCUCCUCUUCUUGUCACGUUAUCUAGGGAUUGAUUUCAGUCUCUUUUCUCUUCACUUCCAUCAGGAAUUUUGCACGCCCUCUACUAGUCACAGGUAUCGCGAUUAUGGGGCGCUUGUUGGAGAAGGUGGCCGCAAGGUUCGUUGACAGAUGUGGUUUGAAUGGAAGGGAGGCGAUGGUGAUGGUGGUAGAAAAGGGGUUGGGGUAUCCAGGGCACGUGCGUUGGCAAUCUGUCACUCACGUGAUUUUCUUGCCUUUUACCAGGGCAUAGGCGUUGGGAAAGCUGGGGCACGAGCGCUAGACCUCAUUGUUGUUUAUUAUAAAUAAAGAACUUUGUCAAUUGAGUUUGUAUCCAUAGUUUCUGAACUUAGUCUUUGAGGAUUGGUUUUUAGAGUUUGUGAGAGGUUCUCUAGUGUUAAUGUUCCAGGUUUUACUUCUUUUACUUUUGAUUAUGUCUUGUUUAGCCAUACUUGGCUAGUUUAUCUUUGUACUUUGGGUGAAGUGAACCUUAGUUCUAAUUAUGGUUUGAACUUCUGAGUUUCUUAUAUGAAUAAAAUUCUCUUUCUAUGUA